rnacentral:lncRNA from 1 species
AUGUGCUACCAAAGAGGGUUUCAGUUACCACACAAGGUACUAUGUUUUGUAAGCAUAUUGACAGAGUGUAUUGCUGUUGAUGUUCUUGGGCUUGAAACUUGCGUACUGAAGAACCAAGAGAAGGUGAUGCUGGCAGAGACUGAAAUGGAUGAAUUCUCACUAGAUAUGACUUCUGAAAGAGACCACGUUACUCUCAAGGAUGGAAUCUGGGACUCCAGCUACUUCGGUGACAGCCAAUGAACAAGAACUGCAUUGUGGGUGCUAGCAAAAAAGCUACUAGUGAAGGAGCAGCAGCAGAAGAUAGCAUUAGAAAGGAGAAAUAAACAAGAGGUAAAAAAGCUGUUUUAAUUUGAU